AUUGAACGCUGGCGGCAGGCUUAACACAUGCAAGUCGAGCGGAGAUGAGGUGCUUGCACCUUAUCUUAGCGGCGGACGGGUGAGUAAUGCUUAGGAAUCUGCCUAUUAGUGGGGGACAACAUCCCGAAAGGAAUGCUAAUACCGCAUACGCCCUACGGGGAAAAGCAGGGGAUCUUCGGACCUUGCGCUAGUAGAUGAGCCUAAGUCGGAUUAGCUAGUUGGUGGGGUAAAGGCCUACCAAGGCGACGAUCUGUAGCGGGUCUGAGAGGAUGAUCCGCCACACUGGGACUGAGACACGGCCCAGACUCCUACGGGAGGCAGCAGUGGGGAAUAUUGGACAAUGGGCGGAAGCCUGAUCCAGCCAUGCCGCGUGUGUGAAGAAGGCCUUUUGGUUGUAAAGCACUUUAAGCGAGGAGGAGGCUACCUGGAUUAAUACUCUAGGAUAGUGGACGUUACUCGCAGAAUAAGCACCGGCUAACUCUGUGCCAGCCGCCGCCGUAACAC
rnacentral:rRNA from 1 species